rfam:Ciona savignyi cont_32840, whole genome shotgun sequence.
GUCGUCGUGGCCAAGUGGUUAAGGCGACAGACUAGAAAUCUGUUGGGCUCUGCCCGCACAGGUUCGAAUCCUGUCGGCGACG